ensembl:lncRNA
GUAGUGUUGUAUCAGUGGUGUUUUGUAUUGAGGUAGUGUUGUAUCAGUGUUGUCUUGUAUUGAGGUAGUGUUGUAUCAGUGGUGUUUUGUAUUGAGGUGGUGUUGUAUCAGUGGUGUUUUGUAUUGAGGUAGUGUUGUAUCAGUGGUGUCUUGUAUUGAGGUAGUGUUGUAUAAGUGGUGUUUUGUAUUGAGGUGGUGUUGUAUCAGUGGUGUUUUGUAUUGAGGUAGUGUUGUAUCAGUGGUGUUUUGUAUUGCGACAGUGUUGUAUCAGUGGUGUUUUGUAUUUAGGUAGUGUUGUAUUGUUGGUGUUUUGUAUUUUGGUAGU